CCUACGGGGGGCUGCAGUGGGGAAUAUUGGACAAUGGGGGGAACCCUGAUCCAGCCAUGCCGCGUGUGUGAAGAAGGCCCUCGGGUUGUAAAGCACUUUCAGCGAGGAAGAACGCCUGGUGGUUAAUACCCAUCGGGAAAGACAUCACUCACAGAAGAAGCACCGGCUAACUCCGUGCCAGCAGCCGCGGUAAUACGGAGGGUGCGAGCGUUAAUCGGAAUUACUGGGCGUAAAGCGCGCGUAGGUGGCUUGAUAAGCCGGUUGUGAAAGCCCCGGGCUCAACCUGGGAACGGCAUCCGGAACUGUCAAGCUAGAGUGCAGGAGAGGAAGGUAGAAUUCCCGGUGUAGCGGUGAAAUGCGUAGAGAUCGGGAGGAAUACCAGUGGCGAAGGCGGCCUUCUGGACUGACACUGACACUGAGGUGCGAAAGCGUGGGUAGCAAACAGGAUUAGAUACCCCGGUAGUC
rnacentral:rRNA from 1 species